UACGUAGGGGGGCAAGCGUUGUCCGGAUUUAUUGGGCGUAAAGCGCUCGCAGGUGGUUCGUCGCGUCGUGCGUGAAAGACCCCGGCUCAACUGGGGAGUGUCACGCGAUACUGAUCGACUCGAAGGCAGGAGAGGGUAGUGGAAUUCCCGGUGUAGUGGUGAAAUGCGUAGAUAUCUGGAGGAACACCGGUGGCGAAGGCGGCAUCCUGGACCGGCAUUGACGCGUGAGGCGCGAAAGCCAGGGGAGCAA
rnacentral:rRNA from 1 species